GCAUGUUAGUGCAGAUCAGCGAUGAAGCCGGUGUCACCGUGGAGGUGCUGCUCCUGAUCCUGUGUCCUGUCUGAAAGAGCAGUGAGAUUUUAGUCUGUGCACUAAACCUGUUUGAGCACUAGCAAUGUAAGGUUUUCAAGACCUUGCUGUGUUGAAGUUUAAGUGGGGCUUGGGAUUUUUGGAGCUGAAUAAGACUCUUCUAGAGCGUUACGCUUCCAGCCAAUCAGAAGAGGAACUACUGGCUGUGGAGAAAGAGUUUCUCAGUGCCGCCCAUCAGGAAGAGGAUUUAGAUUCUUUCGAUGUGGACUCAGGAAGAGACUUUUUGAAUCUCAACCGACCAGUCCAGGCUGAGGACAGUGACAGUGAUGAGACAUCAGAUGAGGAAGAUGAUGGUGAGGAGGAAGAACAGUAGAGUAAAGAGGACAAUGAUGACAGAAAUGAGGAGUCUUGAGUUGUGUAAUCUUCAAAUGUAACAUUUGGGGAAGAAGGAUGUUUAGUCACUGAUUUAGUAACACUGACCUCCACUUGACAUGAGCAAACUUCUGUUUUUCUGCGUGUUUGCAGAUGGAUGCAAAUAUGGAACUAGUAAGUUAACAAAACCAGAGUAAUACCAGGCCUGGACUUUAUGUUGUUUUGAUUGUGCGCAGCUGUCGUCUGUGAGGGGCUGCCGCGUUAUUUUCAUUAAAGUUAGCUUUAAAUGUUCACCCGAUCCCGCAGCCUCCUUCCUUAUGUAUGAACUUUUUUACACAUUUAUUAUUGAAAACCUUUUUGACAUGUUGUUAAACAGAAUGAAAUGUUGAAAUAAAUAUUAAAUGGCAUUUGCUGCAUUUGA